AAAUACGGUAAGAGCGAAACAGGAGGAAGCCAGCUCAGUGCCUGGAGGGGACCCGCCGCCAUCUCAGGUCUCUUGGCUUUGCCAGGGCCCACCGGAGAAAACUGAAGCCCCGUUUCUAUAAUCCUUAUGGGAGACCAACCUUGUGCCUCCGGGAGAUCCACUCUCCCACCUGGAAACACACGGGAAGCCAAGCCUCCAAAAAAGCGCUGCCUCCUAGCUCCGCGGUGGGAUUAUCCAGAAGGAACUCCCAACGGAGGUAGUACCACUCUCCCCUCCGCACCUCCUCCUCCAUCAGCCGGCCUGAAGUCGCACCCUCCUCCUCCGGAGAAGUAGAGAAAUAAAUCUCUCCCAUCCUAAACCAGUCUUUGAGGGAUUGCAGUAUGACUCCAUUUCCCCGGUGCAUUCACGUAAUAGUUCACUUGGUGAAAACAAUGAAGAUUAUUUACAAUGCUACCCUGCUUUUUCUGAUGUCCUGCACCUGGAAGAUGUGCUUCUUAAGUCUUAUGAUGUAAUCAGCGUGAUUUCACCUCAUGAGUUUGGAUGAAUUCUAGGAUGUGGGCAAGAUCGGGUUGUAAAACCUCUAAGAUUUACAGCCAUGGCCUGGAUCAUGAUGAAUUUACCAAAGCAAAUAACACCUGUGAGAUGGUCCUGCAGCAGCCAACCAGUGCGCUCUUUUUGUGACAUCCAGUUCUUGUUGUAUAACUUUAUAUUCCUAUAAAUCCAUGAAGGUCCCAAUAAAAUUUGUCUCUAA